GAUGAACGCUAGCUACAGGCUUAACACAUGCAAGUCGAGGGGUAACAAGAGAAAAGCUUGCUUUUCUUGUUGACGACCGGCGCACGGGUGAGUAACGCGUAUCCAACCUGCCUAUAACUAGGGAAUAACCUUGCGAAAGUAAGACUAAUACCCUAUGAUUUCCUUUGAUGACAUCAGAUUAGGAAUAAAGAUUUAUCGGUUAUAGAUGGGGAUGCGUAUGAUUAGCUUGUUGGCGGGGUAACGGCCCACCAAGGCAACGAUCAGUAGGGGUUCUUAGAGGAAGGUCCCCCUCAUUGGAACUGAUACACGGUCCAAACUCCUACGGGAAGCAGCAGUGAGGAAUAUUGGUCAAUGGGCGGAAGCCUGAACCAGCCAAGUAGCGUGCAGGAUGACCGCCCUAUGGGUUGUAAACUGCUUUUAUACAGGAAUAAAGUUAGCCACGUGUGGUUAUUUGUAGGUACUGUAUGAAUAAGGACCGGCUAAUUCCGUGCCAGCAGCCGCAGUAA
rnacentral:rRNA from 1 species